GACGAACGCUGGCGGCGUGCUUAACACAUGCAAGUCGAACGGUAAGGCUCCAGCUUGCUGGGGUACACGAGUGGCGAACGGGUGAGUAACACGUGGGUGACCUGCCCUGCACUUCGGGAUAAGCCUGGGAAACUGGGUCUAAUACCGGAUAGGACCAUGGUGUGGAUACGGUGGUGGAAAGUUAUUUCGGUGUGGGAUGGGCCCGCGGCCUAUCAGCUUGUUGGUGGGGUAAUGGCCUACCAAGGCGGCGACGGGUAGCCGGCCUGUGAGGGUGGACGGCCACAUUGGGACUGCGACACGGCCCAGACUCCUACGGGAGGCAGCAGUGGGGAAUAUUGCACAAUGGGCGGAAGCCUGAUGCAGCGACGCCGCGUGGGGGAUGACGGCCUUCGGGUUGUAAACUCCUUUCUCCAUCGACGAAGGGUUUCUGACGGUAGAUGGAGAAGAAGCACCGGCUAACUACGUG
rnacentral:rRNA from 1 species